rnacentral:rRNA from 1 species
GACAGAGGUGCCAAGCGUUAGGCGGAAUCACUGGGCUUAAAGCGUGUGUAGGCGGACUCGUAAGUACCUUGUGAAAUCCCACGGCUCAACCGUGGAACUGCUUGGUAUACUGCUUGUCUUGAGCCACUUAGGGGCUGUCGGAACAAACGGUGGAGCGGUGAAAUGCGUAGAUAUCCGGAGGAACACCGGUGGCGAAGGCGGCUUCCUGGACCGACACUGACGCUGAGGCGCGAAAGCUAGGGGAGCAAACGGG